UGUACAAAGAACAGUCAUCUGACGGUAUUCUUGUUCAUUUUUCACUCAAUGGAAAGUUCAUUGGAGAUGGCUUAUUGAAAGCCAAUGAUGGAGGUAUGAAAUUUUGUCCGUUCGUUGGAAUUGGCUUUGAAGGAAUCGUCCUGUUAUUUCGGGCCUGGCAGAAUCUAAACAAAAGCUGGCAUACACGACUUCAGYGACCAUUCUACACUAUCUUUCAAUACAUGUGUAUCAACGCACAAACAUCUGAACAUCCAAAAUUUAUAACGAACAAUAACCGACAUUAAACACAGAAGAUAAGGCAGCUCUGUUAGCAAGGUUUUCGACCGCUUUCUCCAUGGAGUGGAAUCCACUUUUCUCCAAACCGGAGCAGGUACCGACGAUAUCAAGAUCUCAAGCGAUGUUUUGUUUUGUACUGGCAUUGAUUCCUUGCGUCAUCAGUGGAAGCAACAUGACAGGUGACUGYAAUUUUGAUGACAUGUCCACAUGUUCCUGGACAAACGUAAAUAGCAAAGAUCAGUUYGACUGGACUUUAAGAAAAGGCUCUACACCUAGUUUUAUGACAGGCCCUAAUGGGGACCAUACUACCGGGCAAGGCACCUACCUAUACAUCGAAGCAUCCAGYCCACGUCGUCUUGGUGAGACUGCUCGUUUGACGAGUCCAUGGAUGAGGGGUCAACAGUGUAUGGUCUUCUGGUAUCAUAUGUUUGGUGAAGACAUUGGACAGUUASAAGUACAUGUGAACAACACACGUUCUCUUCGUCUUUUGUGGUUUAAAGCUGGUGAACAAGGYAACAAAUGGUACAGAGGGCAAAUUAAUAUUUUGGAAACUGCGGAAUAUCAGAUUGAAUUCAUUGGAGUCAGAGGGAUCAGUUUUGGAGGAGACGUGGCCAUCGACGACAUCUCUUUUCAUCCUCAGGCAUGUCAACGUAAAGAAUUUCUUCGGCUUUAUGUUUAUGCAGACACGUCAAAUAACGGUCUUCUGUCAAACCGAAUCAGCCCGUCACCAGCUCCAGAUGCCUACCAAUACAGCCUUCUUUUCCCCCAACAAAUGCUGCACCCAAAUGAUAAUCUGUACAUCACAAGAAAAACCAAAAGAGGACUAAGGAUCUCGAAACGGGCUUUYAAUUCUAAGCGUAAUUUAAUAUUCAAUGGCGAGGAUUUCUUCUUCUCGUCUCAAACAAGACUUUACGCGCAGAUACCAGUUUACGUGGGGACGAGUCUGACACAGCAAACUGUUUCUUUGGUUAAAACAUUGAAGCAAUGCAAUACUCCUGCCAUGGUCUGGUCCCAGCUGUUUGCUUCUUCUAAGAAUAUCUCAUUGAAUCACGCCGUUGGAAUGAUAGUGACACAGUCCUCCCAAGCAGCCAAGACUGCUCCUCAUCUAGUGGUGGAUGGCAAAUUCGACACCUGUUCAAAGACUUUAGUGCAAGACAACCCUUGGUUUGAAAUGAGUCUGAAAGGUUCUUCUUACAUCUACAAAGUUCAUGUUUCAACCCUGAGCUGUAGUCGAAGCAACAGCUUGCCAGAAAUUCAAGUAACAUUAUCAAAGGGUAGUACAGAAGUCAGGUGCCAAACCACUGACCAACGUGCUAUGAAUAAAAGGUCACGUGUUUUCUUAUGCCAGCCUCCGAUUCGUGCACUAAAGCUUCACAUCAAGCAUAUCGGGAACCAAUCGCAGYUGUCCAUUUGUGAAAUUGUUGUCAAUGCUGUUGAUUCCAUUAAUCAGUUACGAGGCGUGCGAAGUGAGAUGUGGUUUGACGUAAGCCCAGGUUCAAAGCUGUCGUUUUUCUUGAAUAGCCCAAAACGACUCUCCGAUCCCAGUUCUAGCAACAUACUACCACAGUACCUUGCCAAUGGAGGCGUUCUGGACAACUAUGGGCAGAGAUUGACAGCUUUUAUUCAGGCUCCGUCUGUUGGGAACUAUACGUUCUAUGCCAUGUGUGAUGAUCAGUGCAGAGUGUGGCUGAGGACGGUACAGAAUCUUUCAGAUGUUUCUUUCGUAGAAGACCUGGAUACAUCCGAGCAACAAAAUAUGAAAAUAGCUGAUGUUACAAGUUAUACUGGAUAUGGUGUUUGGGACAGGUAUCCAGGGCAAGUGUCACGCGAUAUACCACUUGAUUCCUGUAGUAUGCAGAUGGUCGAGGGAGUUGUCAAGGAUUCUCAAGGGGCAGGCUUUUUAGGUGUUGGUUUGAGGCUCCCCACUGGAAAGCGCCUUUUACCUCUUGGUAUAUCUCAAAUGUUCUGGCUGCUUCCAGGACUUACAAAGCUCGACAUCUCACUUGUCAAUCCCAAACCAAAACRGCCUUCUUUCGAAGUUGGACAGUCGAUAAACCUCAAAUUGAUAUAUCGUCUUUGCUGUCAUGGUAUUCUUUGUCCUACUUGUCCAAAGUCAGUCAGCCUACAUAUUUUCAACCGCAAUCUUCUAAUCAACUCCUCCUUGCAUACAACAUGUGAAUGGUAUUCCUACUCUAGCGUAAUAAGGAUUACAUCUCCUCCUGGAUUGUACGACAUCAAAGUGUCGGAAAUUACAAGAAGCAUAGAAGAAGCCAAAGUACUUACAAAGACAUUAACACAUCUUGAAAUAAGAAGUCUUGUUGUCUUGAACUGUUUUUAUCUGCAACAUGAAUGUUACUGGGCUUAUCAUGGUAUCGAUGGAAGUAAUGGCUGGAAAGUUAGACAUAACAGCAGCUCUCAAGAACACUAYUUCGAACUCAUAGGGCGAAACUCAGCCUGGCUACACAGUGCCUCAGUAAGACCGCUACUUUUAUUUCAAAGUACAGGACUUUGUUUGAMGUUUUCGUAUCGUAUGCCUAACGAAUCUUGUAAGCUGGAAGUCUUCAAUAGAAAUAUUUUAAAGAAAGCUCUUUUAUGGAGUCUUAGAGGACUGCAAGGUAUGGAAUGGAAAGAAACAGCAAUCUCUUGGCCAGCAGAUGAUACUAGCAAGAUAUUGAUCGAGGGAAAUUGYAAUGGCAGUGGAAGCGUCGCUUUGGGAAACAUUCGACUUACUACUGARAAGUGUAACACAACACCUUCUCACGCUAGACCAGGACACUCCUGCGACAACAAUGAAUUUCGUUGCUAUAACGGGAUGUGUGUCAGAUCGUACUUACGAUGYGAUGGCGACUACGCAUGCGUAGACAAGUCAGAUGAAAAGGAUUGUGAGUGCCGAUCAUCCCAGUUCAAAUGCCCCAAUGGMAAUUGUCUAAAUGUGAUUGAUCUAUGCAAUGGAGUUAAAGACUGCGAUGACGGUUCGGAUGAAAAAAGCUGUGGARACGRCUGUGCAGACAACAAGUUCUCUUGUUUUGAUGGCACUUGUAUUCCAUGGUCCUCUACGUGCGAUGGCGUGUUGGAUUGUCAAGAUGGAUCAGAUGAACCAACCAUAUGUGCAUCGUUACGGUGUCCUUUGGAUAACAUUUCCUGCAAUAUAAAUGGUACAUCAGAAAAAUGCCAACGGUUUAGAGGACCAUGUGAUUUUGAAAAUGGACUUUGUGGACUCAAGAUUGUYGAUCAACCUGGUUACAAAAAGUGGCAGUUCAACAGUGGAUCAACGCCGACUAUGAACACAGGGCCAAAUGUUGACCAUACUACACAGACUGAGAACGGCAGUUAUCUAUACAUAGAAGCAUCAGAUUUAAAUGAUGGUAACAAAGCUAUACUUCAAAGUGAUUGGUUAAAGUACGAUGGAGUCACGUGCUUACAAUUUUGGUAUCACAUGUGGGGACGUCACGUGGGGGAUCUUAGCGUCUACGUCACAACAAAUGAAACUAGCGAAAAGGUUUGGAGUAGGUCUGGCUCAGCUGGUCAAAAGUGGAGAUUUGGACAAACACCGAUAGAUGUUGGAGGACGUACAUUCAGGUUUGAAAUAAGGUCAACCACGGCUGAUAAAGAAGGAGAUGUAGCGAUUGACGACAUUAAUCUCUUGGAUGAAACCUGCGAGCGGGUUAUUACACAAAUCAAUCCAAAUUGCCAAUUCAAGAAUGAUUUCUGUCAGUGGCAAAGCAACGAUGGUUGGAAAGUCGCCGACUCUCCGCCUGUCAGUUUUAGCCGCGUUCCAUUUCAUGAAGGAAUUGUUCACAAAAAUAUCAUAUUCAAGGGAACACCAACAAUGUAUAGCCCAUAUUUGGAUUUCCAUGAAAACGGCUACRAGUGUGUACGGUUCUGGUACUACAUAUCUGGUUCCACCAGUGGGAUAAGUCUUGGAAAGCUGAAGCUGUACAUGGAAAAUUCGACCUCGAAGUCACUUGUUUGGAGCACCAACAAAGUCACAAGAAACUGGGCUUACGUGCAAAUACCAAUAGCAGCCGUGUAUAAGACAAGGUUAUUGUUUGCAACGAACGAACCGUUUCUGGUUGUAAAACAACUGAUUGCCUUUGACGAUGUCUCUGUGAUCAAAGAACAUUGUCAACCUAUUACGUCGAUGAACGAAAAUUGUAUUCAGCGAACGACUGCAAAUGACUGUUGUGUCUUCCCCUUCGUAUAUAAUAACAAAUGUUACACGUCUUGUAUUGGAGAUGGUGCCGACAGGCUGUGGUGCAGUAUAACGGAUAACUAUGAUCGUGACAAGAUGUGGGGAAGCUGCAGUGAAGCCAAUACUAGAUUCCAAGGGUCAGGUYCUCCAAUAGACAAACCAUGUGUUGUUCGUACAGUCCAGGGGCCUUGCUGCUCUUUUCCAUAUAUUUACAAUGGAAAAGUAUACUCUCGAUGCAUUACAAAUUUUCAUCAUAGACCUUGGUGUUCGUUGACAUCAAACUAUGACCAGGAUCAUUCUUGGGGCGACUGCUUGAUUUUAGGUUCAUAUAGACGCCGAAAAGUUCAAAAAUCGAAGGAAUGCAAACAGAAGACAACAAACGGAGAAUGUUGCUUUUUUCCCUUCAUGUACCGGGGAAAGAAGUAUUCCACAUGUGUCUCAUUCAAACACGACAGGCCUUGGUGUUCUUUGACGUCCAACUACGAUAACGACACACGUAGCUGGGGAAACUGURCGGGAUAUUCCAACCCAGAUAACUGUACAGCUGUCUAUCAGGAACAAAAGAGUUUACCUUGGAUUGACUUCUCCAGCAACGAUUCCAGCGUCUUCUGGUCAUCAAACCAAUACCAAAACACUCGAAAUGAAGAACGUUUCUCACCCAGACAACUACAAGAUUUUAUCAAAGCUGGUCUUUUCGAAGUUUCCUUCAAUUCAUCAUUUCAAGGAGUAUCAGUUCAAACGCUGCCUGAUUUGAGCUCAUUCACGACUUGUGUGUGGAUUAAGACAAAUUUACGACUUAACAGAGGUGCAAUUUUCCAUUACGAUUUUAAUCUUAAUAAAGAUAGCAGUGUAACKGGAUUUGGGUUGUUCCACGAAAAAACGCUUCGUGUCAGCAUUAUGGCGUACAAUAGAACCACCACCACGUCUGCUAAUGAUGGCCAAUGGCAUCACCUGUGUCUCGUAUGGAACUCUAAAGGGGGCGUUUAUCAACUCUACAAAGACGGUAUAUUUGUGGAACAACGGCACGGCCUUCAUCAAUUUAAAAAGAUACCAGGGCUAGGUACUUUAGUUAUUGGUGGGGACGGUUUCCAAGGAAGCAUGAGUGGCUUGAACAUAUGGAGUAUCCCGAUGGACCGUGAUGAAGUAAAGCAUCUAUCUAUUGGAUGUAAUAUUGAAAAGGGUGACAUCAGUGCUUGGUCUGAUCUUAGGAGCACCUUGCUUCGUUAUUCUAUGCUGACUAGUCCUCCUAAUUGCCUCGAUUCAGGCGGAGAAGGAUUUAAUAUUAUAAAGAACAUCACUACAACAUAUAGUGUGAACGCUCAGCUCAGAAGUAACAGCACUCUUCUAGUCAGAAGCGAUGUUAGGAAUGUCCAGAACACGGGCCUGUGUAUGAAGUUUCGCUAUAGAUUGAUAGGCAAGGCAGCAUUGUCCCUGAAGAUCUAUAAAAGCGAGACAAACAAUAUCAGCGACUCUCCAGAUCAGUUUCUGUGGGGAUCUUCUGAUAGUCAAGUAGUACCUGGCUGGUUAUUUGCAAGCGUUUCUAUCACAACUUUACGUCCAUUUGAGGUUGUGAUUAAAGCCUUGUUUGGCAGUGGACAAGGAUCUAUUGGAUUUGGUGGAUACGUUAUCAAGCCUGGAUAUUGUACUGAAUUUAGYUAUGGCGAGCAACGAGCUUGCCAGCUUAACUUGACAAGUCAGUCCGGAACAUUUGCUUCGCCAUAUUAUCCUGAUCUCUAUCCAAAUGACAUUGUCUGUAGAUGGCAAGUAUCAAGACCUCCAGGACAAGUAAUCCGGUUGACUAUCCACUCAUUCGAACUCGAGUACAGCCAAAGUUGUACAAACGAUAACGUCACAGUAUAUGAUGGKUUGCAUGGUAACGCUAAGAGUCUUGGAAGGUUCUGUGGAGAUCRUUUUCCGUUGUUUCUUGAGACGUCUUCAAACAACCUUAUUUUGCUUUUCAAAACAAACGAAUUGGCUAGGGGUUYUGGAUUCAGAAUGUCCUAUUCUUCUCGCAAAACCUCUAAAGAGGCUGAUAGCUGCAUGGCUGUUCAAGAUUGUCCAUCAAGUUGUACCUGUUCGUUCACUCAARAAAUUCCAAAAAGAAUCAUAGUUGCUGGAGAAGAGUUGACAGUUAUACCGAGAAAUAUGCCACAGAAUACUGCAGCCUUGAUGUUUGGAAGGAAUCGCAUUACAAAGCUUAAAGAAAACAYUUUUUUACAGAUGCCUCACCUUCAGUUUAUCGACCUCAGUUAUAACCGYCUUAUGAGUUUACAAGGGUCUCCCUUCCGUGGGUUGGAUUCUCUGCUAACCUUACAAAUGAGGUCAAAUUUUAUAUCAAGACUAAAGCCUGAUGUAUUCAGUGGACUUUCUCGUCUUCAAAACAUAGAUUUAAGCAACAAUCUAUUGGAUGAUGUUGGAAAGGGCGUACUGGAUCCGUUAACGCAUUUACAGAUCUUGAGCCUAAUGUCCAAUCGCAUCAUUCAUAUUGAAAACGAAGCAUUUAAACAUCUGAGGAACUUGACCAGCUUAUAUUUAAGUAAUAAUCGGAUCAAAAAACUAAAUCAAGACACCUUUAGAGGACUACAUUCUCUUCGAGUUUUACAUCUGGAGAAGAACAACAUUAAAGAAUUCAAAGAGGAUACCUUCAAGCACCUUCAGAAAUUACGUGUGCUAAAACUCGAUCGCUUUGUACAUUGUUGCUACGCCAUAAAGUCAGUUAAAGGUCUUAAUUGUCAGUCUCCCAAGUCUGCRUUUUCCAACUGUGAUGACCUGAUGAAGAACAAAACCCUAAGAGCCUGCAUCUGGAUUCUUGGUAUUCUUGCGCUUCUUGGAAACAUUGGCGUCAUAGCUUGGAGAAUGGUUGCAAGAGAACAGYUAAACCAAGUGCACUCAUUUCUAUUAACCAACCUCGCGUUUGCUGACUUGUUGAUGGGAGUUUAUUUGUUGCUUGUCGCUUUUAAAGAUGUAGAGUUUAAAGGUGUCUACUUUAAGCAUGAUCUUUAUUGGCGGUCAAGUCGRCUGUGUCAAUUUGCAGGCGCUCUUUCAGUCAUUUCAAGUGARGUAUCCGUUCUGAUUCUUACAACAUUGACAGCAGACAGAUUCGUAUGCAUCGUAUUUCCUUUAAAAUUUAUAAGCCUGAAAAUGAAAUCUGCAGUAUUUGUUGUGAUGACGAUAUGGACUGCAAGCCUAUUGAUAUCAAUACUACCAAUUGUAAUCAAAGAUUACUUUUAUGACUUUGAUUGGCAAGAAGGUUUCUACGGUCGGUCUGCCGUUUGUCUUCCACUCCAGCUGUCAGGGGAGCGACUCCCAGGCUGGGARUAUUCAGUUGCCAUUUUCAUUGCCUUGAACUUUUUCGCCUUCACAUUCAUUCUCGUCGCCUAUGUGGUCAUGUUUUGGGAAGUAAAAUCUGUUGGGAAAUCUGCCCGUUCAAAUAAUCAUACGAGAACGGAGUCCGCCCUGGCAAGGCGAAUAGCAUUCAUAGUUAUAACUGACUUUUGUUGCUGGAUGCCAGUUAUUGUAAUUGGGAUUCUCUCUCUACUUGGAAUAUUCAAAGACCCAGAAAAACAAGUUUACGUUUGGAUCGCAGUUUUUGUUCUGCCUGUAAAUUCAUCAAUUAACCCAAUAUUAUAUACAUUCUCUACUCGGAGUUGGCGCAGAGGAAACAGUAGAGAAAUGUCGUUUAUUGGUUUUAUGGUUAAUGCUGCAAAUCGUGUCAGUAUUGCUUUUAGCCGAGGACGAUCGCAUGCUGAUAGCUUGGAUGGAACAACUGCAGUAAUACCUAUGACAAACAUGUCAACUGCUUUAGACAAAAACGGGCUACGAAAAUUUAAGAAGUUGAAGAGCAAUUCUCUUCUUAGAGGAUUGCAAGUCGUGGAGAAGGCUGGAAUGUUCAAAGGAAAUUUCUUGCCGUCAACGGAGUUCUUCAUUGCUCGCUGUGGUAAGUCAAAAGAAAGCGCAAUUGUUCUUUUAAAAGUCUUCGCAAGUAACCAGAGAAUGGAUUGGGAGAGAGAAGUGGAGGCGUUGGAAAGAGUAGAAAUGGACGGAGGCCACCCAAAUAUUAUCAAACAUCUAUGGCAUUCAGAAGCAAAUAAAUUACCUGCAGACAUCGACCUUAAAAACCUUGCCCCUGUUAGAAGCUGCAGCAUGUUAAUUUGCUUCGAAGUAUUAUCACGUAACACACUUGAAGAUUAUCUUAAUGACCUUACAACUUUACUUCAUCCGCAUCUCCUAUUGGCCAUUGGGACUGAUGUCAUUAACGCCCUAAGACAUCUCGAACGUUAUCAUAUCGUUCAUAACCAAGUGAAUGCUUCAAGCCUGAUGAUCCAGCAAUGUCUGGGGGUUCCACCAGUGAAGGCGAUUCUGGGAGGGUUUGGUAAGGCGAUGUACAUUGGUUCGAUGAAAAAAAUGAAUAACGUGCAAACAAAAGAUCUCAGAAAUGACAUAAGACAUUAUGGCGUGCUUCUGGAUCAUCUAUUGGUCCACUGCAGUGACGAUUUUUACUUCGUAAGCCAGGUAAAAUGUAUUUCAGAAAGAUGCCAACAAGAAACAAACAGACCAACACCGUCAGACGUUCGCAGUCUAUUGGAAGUGAUAUGGGAUGAGAUUGGUACAUGGGACACUAUGCUGUAGUCUUUGACAACACCGUCAGACGUUUGCAGUCUAUUGGAAGUGAUAUGGGAUGAGCUUGGCACAUGGGACACUAUGCUGUAGUCUUUGACAAGAGAUGCACUGCUGAGAAUGGUUCGAAACAAUGGAAAGCAUCGUUCUUAAAUAAAACAUAGUGAUUGACCCUAGCAUUUUAAUCUAGAAAGAGGGUUGAUCAACAUUCGCGAAAAAUUAGAAGUAAGGUGGCCCCGGCAAAGUGUCUAGCCUCUACCUCUACCGUACAGCCUUAAUUUCUAGRGUUACUUUUGUAAAAGGAAGCCGGGAUAAUGGACACCAAAUGAGACUCUCUCAGAUUCACCGGCUGAUAGCGUACAAUACUUUUUUUACAAAGAAAUAUGUAUGCCAUUUUUUAUUAUAGUAAAUUUUGAUGAAUAAAAAAUACUCUCAUGCAACGGACAUUAGUAAAUCAAAAUACAUUAACGAAAGCUGGCAAUUGGAAAGUCAAACUGCAUGAGAAGCAAUGAUGAAAGUCGGUACAGAAUUACCGACCGGGACACAAAAGUGGCUUGAGAAAGUCAGGUCAAGACUAAGUCAUAUUUCAAACAUUGAUACAAAAAUCGUGCAGGAUGACGACAUAUUUUGAUGUGGAAUACAGGCCCUUGUCAGCCAUUGGACAAAGGUCUAAAUCCCCAGGAGGAUGUGAAAAUACAAUUACAGCCUUUCGCUGAACAAGCACGCACUUAUCGGAGAAAUGUUUUAAUUUCUCAAGCUCAUGACGGCAGAUUUGGAUGUGGUCUGUAGUCCAUCCACAUCCAUGUUGUUGGAAACAGGCCUACCCCCUAGGGAUGUGUGAAAAGUACUAGAUUGCAGUGUUACAGCUGGAAAUUUCUUGUUGAACAUUAUUCCCCUAUCGGAUACGGUCAAGCAAACCGGUUUGGCGGUGAAAAUCCCUGUUGCUAACCUACAUUCUCUCCAUUCGAAGUUGGGACCUGCAAAUAAAAAGUUUUAUCGACUUUGGCCCUGCUGACUAGACUAUCGUGUUUUCCAACAAUGUUAUGGAAACACCUUGUGAUUGACGUCCACCAAAACCUUCGCUAGAAAAAAUCGCUAGAUGGCGCGUGUGAUUGAUAAUGGCUGUAAACGUAUAUAUCACGGCCAGCUGAUCUUAGAUAGUGACAUACAUGAUCUUCAAUAUA